GCCAUUGUAAACGAACAGAAAGAAGAAAACAGUCUAAUUUUCUUAAUGAGAGAAAGUUCCAGAAGAAAUGAUCAAAAAUACUAAGGCUGUUCACAUGCUUCAAAAUCAACUGCAGAAACAAAGAUCAACAUCAGUGGAUUAAUAUUGGGUAUACAACUGUAAAUUAAAAAAAUAAUUAUUAUACUUUAAGUUCUGGGAUACGUGAACAGAAGUUGCAGGUUUGUUACCUAGGUAUACAUGUGCCGUGGUGGUUUGCUGCAUGCAUCAACCCAUCAUCUACAUUAGGUAUUUC
rnacentral:lncRNA from 1 species